rnacentral:rRNA from 1 species
UACGAAGGGGGCUAGCGUUGUUCGGAAUUACUGGGCGUAAAGCGUGCGCAGGCGGCUUCUCAAGUCAGGGGUGAAAGCCCAGAGCUCAACUCUGGAAUUGCCUUUGAGACUGAGUGGCUUGAGUACGAGAGAGGUGAGUGGAAUUCCCAGUGUAGAGGUGAAAUUCGUAGAUAUUGGGAAGAACACCGGUGGCGAAGGCGGCUCACUGGCUCGUAACUGACGCUCAUGCACGACAGCGUGGGGAGUCAAACAGG